UACCAGCACCCCGAGUGGUCGGGACGUUUAUUGGGCCUAAAGCAUCCGUAGCCGGUUCUACAAGUCUUCCGUUAAAUCCACCUGCUUAACAGAUGGGCUGCGGAAGAUACUAUAGAGCUAGGAGGCGGGAGAGGCAAGCGGUACUCGAUGGGUAGGGGUAAAAUCCGUUGAUCCAUUGAAGACCACCAGUGGCGAAGGCGGCUUGCCAGAACGCACUCGACGGUGAGGGAUGAAAGCUUGGGGAGCAAACCGG
rnacentral:rRNA from 1 species